rnacentral:rRNA from 1 species
AUUGAACGCUGGCGGCAGGCCUAACACAUGCAAGUCGAGCGGUAACACAGGGAGCUUGCUCCCGGGUGACGAGCGGCGGACGGGUGAGUAAUGUCUGGGAAACUGCCUGAUGGAGGGGGAUAACUACUGGAAACGGUAGCUAAUACCGCAUAACGUCGCAAGACCAAAGAGGGGGACCUCCGGGCCUCUUGCCAUCAGAUGUGCUCAGAUGGGAUUAGCUAGUAGGUGGGGUAAUGGCUCACCUAGGCGACGAUCCCUAGCUGGUCUGAGAGGAUGACCAGCCACACUGGAACUGAGACACGGUCCAGACUCCUACGGGAGGCAGCAGUGGGGAAUAUUGCACAAUGGGCGCAAGCCUGAUGCAGCCAUGCCGCGUGUAUGAAGAAGGCCUUCGGGUUGUAAAGUACUUUCAGCGGGGAGGAAGGUGCUGAGGUUAAUAACCUCAGCAAUUGACGUUACCCGCAGAAGAAGCACCGGCUAACUCCGUGCCAGCCGCCGCCGUAA